CUCACAAUCCUACACGUAUAUCCAUCUCAGCACCACACAUUUAUGAAUUAUUAUUCCACAUCCCAAUCAUUUGUCUCAUCCUGCCACUGCAAGCGCAAACCACCGGGGUUAGCUAGGCCGGCCGGCUAGCCCAUGUCACCCAUGGCGUCCUCCUCCAAACGCGCGCUCCUCCUGCUGCUCGCCGUCCUCCUCCACGGCUGCUGCGGCUUGCCGGCGGCGACGGUCCACGGUGGGCGCGCCGCCGCCGCCGGCAGCCCGGUGAUGGAGGAGCGGUUCCGGCGUUGGAAGGCGGAGUACAACCGGUCCUACGCCACGGCCGCGGAGGAGCGGCGCCGGUUCCGGGUGUACGCGCGCAACGUGGCCUACAUCGAGGCCACCAACGCCGAGGCCGCGGCGGCAGGGCUCACGUACGAGCUCGGCGAGACGGCCUUCACCGACCUCACCAACCAGGAGUUCGCGGCCAUGUACACGGCGCCGCCACCGCUGUACGCGGACGAGGACGACGAGGACGCGCCGGCGGUGAUCACCACGCGCGCGGGGCCGGUCGACGCGGGCCGCCGGCUGCCUGCGUACGCGAACGUGUCCGACGGCGCGCCGGCGAGCGUCGACUGGCGCGACAGCGGCGCCGUCACGCCGGUGAAGAACCAAGGCCGAUGCGGGUCGUGCUGGGCCUUCUCGACGGUGGCGGUGGUCGAGAGCAUCUACCAGAUCCGGACGGGGAAGCUGGUGUCCCUGUCGGAGCAGGAGCUGGUGGAUUGCGACACGCUGGACGAAGGCUGCGACGGCGGCAUCAGCUACCGCGCGCUGCGGUGGAUCGCCGACAACGGCGGCAUCACCACGGAGGACGACUACCCGUACACGGCGGCCACGGGAGACUGCGACAGGGCCAAGCUCUCGCACAACGCGGUGAGCAUCGCGGGGCUCCGCCGCGUGGCCACCCGGAGCGAGGCGGCGCUGGCGAACGCCGUGGCGGCGCAGCCGGUGGCCGUGUCCAUCGAGGCCGGCGGGGCCAACUUCCAGCACUACAGGAAGGGCGUCUACAACGGGCCGUGCGGGACCAAGCUGAACCACGGGGUCACCGUCGUCGGGUACGGCCAGGAGCCCGGCGGCGGGGACAGGUACUGGAUCGUCAAGAACUCGUGGGGGGAGGGCUGGGGCGACGGCGGGUACAUCAGGAUGAGGAAGGACGUCGCCGGCAAGCCGGAGGGGCUCUGCGGCAUCGCCAUCCGCCCGUCCUACCCACUGAUGUGACAUGAUGAUGUGUAUACAUCGUUAGUUUUUCCUUCGUUCUAGCAUUUUAGCCAAAUUAUGAUCAAGUCAAACUUGUUUUUUUUCCUUUGCUAUUACGUGUGCCAGUAGUACACUCUUAAAUUAGUAAUUUGCAACGAUCAUACGUGUAAACCUACUCUUGUGCGAAAACGACAUGCAAAUGAAAGUAGUAUAUAUGUACACGAUGUCCCGGUCGGUCA